UACGAAGGGGGCUAGCGUUGCUCGGAAUGACUGGGCGUAAAGGGCGCGUAGGCGGAUGGCACAGUCAGAUGUGAAAUUCCCGGGUUUAACCUGGGGGCUGCAUUUGAUACGUGUUGUCUAGAGUGAGGAAGAGGGUUGUGGAAUUCCCAGUGUAGAGGUGAAAUUCGUAGAUAUUGGGAAGAACACCGGUGGCGAAGGCGGCAACCUGGUCCUUGACUGACGCUGAGGCGCGAAAGCUAGGGGAGCAAACAGG
rnacentral:rRNA from 1 species